rnacentral:rRNA from 1 species
UACGUAGGGCGCAAGCGUUGUCCGGAAUUAUUGGGCGUAAAGAGCUCGUAGGCGGUUUGUCGCGUCUGCUGUGAAAACCUAAGGCUCAACCUUGGGCUUGCAGUGGGUACGGGCAGACUAGAGUGCGGUAGGGGUGACUGGAAUUCCUGGUGUAGCGGUGGAAUGCGCAGAUAUCAGGAGGAACACCGAUGGCGAAGGCAGGUCACGUUGG